rnacentral:tRNA from 2 species
CAUUGAGAAGCUAACAUAGCGUUAACCUUUUAAGUUAAAGACUGAGAAUGCAGACUUCUCCUUAAUGA